UGGGGGUAAAAUUAAUAAAAAAAAUAAUAAUAAAAAAAAUUUUAAAAAAAAUAAUUUAAUGGGGGUUAAAGUAUUUUUAAUAAAAAAAAUUUUUAUAUUUAUAGUUAAUUAGUAUUGUAAAAGAAUUUUUAAAUAAAAUGAAAAUAAAUUUUUUAAAAAGUAAAUUUAAUUUAUUGUAUCUUGUGUAUCAGAGUUUAUUAAAAAUUUUUUAAAUUUAUUAAAAUUCUCGAAUUUAAAAGAGUUAAUUAAUUAAUGAAGUUAUUGUUGCAUAAAUAUUUAAAAUAAUUAAUUAGAAAUGAAAUGUUAAUCGUUUUUAAAUAUAUCUAGUUUUUUUAGAAAAAAAUUUAAUUUUUAAUUUAGUUUUAAAUAAUAAUAAAUAUUUAUUAUUGUUUAAAAUUAAAUUAAAUAAUUUAAGGGAUAAGCUUUAAAUUAAAAUUUUAUAAUUUAUUAUUUUUAAUUUAAAAAUUUUAUAAUUUAUAUUGUUAAAAAAUUUUAUUUUAUUAUAAAUAAUUUUAAAUAAUUUAAAAUUUAAUAUUAAUUUAAUUUUUUAUAAAAAAAUUUAUUAUAAUUAAAAUAAUAAAGAAAUUAUGAUAAAAUUAGUAAAUAAAAAUAAUAUUUAAAAAAUAAUUUUUUAAAAAUUAUUUUUCAGGAAUUCGGCAAAUAUUUAUAUUCACUUGUUUAUCAAAAACAUGUCUUUUUGAAAAUAAUUUAAAGUUUAAUUUGCCCCCUGAUAAAAAAAUUAAAGGGGUGCCGUAUUUUGGCUGUACAAAGGUAGCAUAAUCCUUAGUUUUUUAAUUGGGGACUUGUUUGAAAGGUUGAAUGGGAUUUAAACUGUUUAAAAAAUAAUUAAUUGAAUUUAAUUUUUUAAUUAAAAAGUUAAAAUUUUUUAAAAAGGCGGGAAGGCCCCUUAGGGUUUUUUUUUUUUUUUUAAUUUAAAUUAUAUAUAAAAAUAAUAAAUUUUAAAUUAGAAAUAAUUUUUUUUUGGGGGGGUAAAAAAAUAAAAAAAACUUUUUUUAAUUUUAAACAUAAAUAAAUGAUUUUUUGAUCCAAUUUUUUUGAUUAAAAGAAAGAAUUUCCUUUGGGAUAACAGGGUAAUUUUUUUUUUUAGUUCAUAUAAAAAAAAAAGUUUGCGACCUCGAUGUUGGAUUAAGAUAAAAUUUAAAUGCAAAAGUUUAAAAUUUUUGAUCUGUUCGAUCAUUAAAAUCUUACAUGAUCUGAGUUCAAACCGGUGUAAGCCAGGUUGGUUUCUAUCUUUUAAUAUAUUUAAUAUUUUAGUACGAAAGGAUUAAAUAUUGUAAUUAAAUUAAUUUUUAUGAAUUUUAUUAAUUUAAAAUUAGA
rnacentral:rRNA from 1 species